ACUUAAAUUGAAGAGUUUGAUCAUGGCUCAGAUUGAACGCUGGCGGCAGGCCUAACACAUGCAAGUCGAGCGGUAGCACAGAGAGCUUGCUCUCGGGUGACGAGCGGCGGACGGGUGAGUAAUGUCUGGGAAACUGCCUGAUGGAGGGGGAUAACUACUGGAAACGGUAGCUAAUACCGCAUAAUGUCGCAAGACCAAAGUGGGGGACCUUCGGGCCUCAUGCCAUCAGAUGUGCCCAGAUGGGAUUAGCUAGUAGGUGGGGUAACGGCUCACCUAGGCGACGAUCCCUAGCUGGUCUGAGAGGAUGACCAGCCACACUGGAACUGAGACACGGUCCAGACUCCUACGGGAGGCAGCAGUGGGGAAUAUUGCACAAUGGGCGCAAGCCUGAUGCAGCCAUGCCGCGUGUGUGAAGAAGGCCUUCGGGUUGUAAAGCACUUUCAGCGGGGAGGAAGGCGUUAAGGUUAAUAACCUUGGCGAUUGACGUUACCCGCAGAAGAAGCACCGGCUAACUCCGUGCCAGCAGCCGCGGUAAUACGGAGGGUGCAAGCGUUAAUCGGAAUUACUGGGCGUAAAGCGCACGCAGGCGGUCUGUCAAGUCGGAUGUGAAAUCCCCGGGCUCAACCUGGGAACUGCAUUCGAAACUGGCAGGCUAGAGUCUUGUAGAGGGGGGUAGAAUUCCAGGUGUAGCGGUGAAAUGCGUAGAGAUCUGGAGGAAUACCGGUGGCGAAGGCGGCCCCCUGGACAAAGACUGACGCUCAGGUGCGAAAGCGUGGGGAGCAAACAGGAUUAGAUACCCUGGUAGUCCACGCCGUAAACGAUGUCGAUUUGGAGGUUGUGCCCUUGAGGCGUGGCUUCCGGAGCUAACGCGUUAAAUCGACCGCCUGGGGAGUACGGCCGCAAGGUUAAAACUCAAAUGAAUUGACGGGGGCCCGCACAAGCGGUGGAGCAUGUGGUUUAAUUCGAUGCAACGCGAAGAACCUUACCUGGUCUUGACAUCCACAGAACUUUCCAGAGAUGGAUUGGUGCCUUCGGGAACUGUGAGACAGGUGCUGCAUGGCUGUCGUCAGCUCGUGUUGUGAAAUGUUGGGUUAAGUCCCGCAACGAGCGCAACCCUUAUCCUUUGUUGCCAGCGGU
rnacentral:rRNA from 2 species